GGCAACCCACUCACGUCCCCUUCCAUGCUAUGGAAGCUCUGUUCUUUUGCUCUUUGCAAUAAAUCUUGCUGCUGCUCACUCUUUGGGUCCACACUGCCUUUAUGAGCCAUAACACUCACCGCGAAGGUCUGCAACUUCUCUCCAGAGGCCAGCAAGACCACGAACCCACUGGGAGGAAUGAACAACUCCGGACGGGAGGAACGAACCACUCUGGACGCACCGCCUUAAGAGCUAUAACACUCACUGCGAAGGUCUGCAGCUUCAUUCCUGAAGCCAGCGAGACCACGAACCCACCAGAAGGAAGAAACUCUGAACACACCCAAACAUCAGAAGGAACAAACUCCGAACACAUCAGAAGGAACAAACUGCGGACAUGCCGCCUUUAAGAACUGUAACACUCACCACGAGAUUCUGCGGCUUCAUUCUUGAAGUCAGUGAGACCAAGAACCCACCAAUUCCGGAUACAUUUUGGUGACCCAGAUGGGACUAUUACCUAUCGCCAAGCGGUGAGACCACUGCCUAUCGCUGAGCGGUGAGACUAUCACCUAUCGCCAAGCAGUCAACGGCAGGGGUCUAAGGAGUGACUGCCCAACGUGAGGCUUCAAGAUGAGCCAAUUACCAAUUAUGCACGGCGUUUCUCCUUCUCUUCCUUCAUUCCCAUAGAGAAUCCCAUUCCUAUCUCCUUCGCCAGCCCAAGGCAAUGGGCCUCUCCCAGCAACUGGGUGGGCAAGUUUUACCUGCUGGAUAGUGUUGCCUCUUUCCUAGGUAACAGAGUGGCUUUCCUACCUAAGCCAGUCUCUGAUGCAAAGAAGAGAAUGCCACCUCCCUGGAGGACAAGCCUGAGCAACUCCCAAGCUGGCAGAGUGAGUGGCAGCAGGCAGUCAGGCUGGCUCUCCCAAGAGGAGCACAGGCUGCUCUCCUGAUGAGCAGGUCCCACCUGCCUGUGUCACCAACAGUGCGAAGAUCCCGGGGUCCUAUCUCAAGGGCAGGAAGGACAUCCCUGGCCUGAAGCCAGCCAACCCAUUAGGUCACCAGGUUGAUGCCUGCAGGACACACAGAUACUCACUUGGGUUUUUCAUCUGGUAAUGGUUCAGGAAGCCCAGAGUCUCCAGGGCAUCGCUCUUGGAUUCCCACUCCAGCAGUCCAGAGGAGCUGCGCUCACCUGAUUGCAAACCAAGGGGAAAAGUAAAGGUUUUAGACUCACCCAAUAGGAACUAGGCAGCUGCCCACCAACCACCAUGCAAUUAGGGCAAGGAGGUGGGCACACUCGACUCACUUUUGCCUGAGAAUACUUUCACAGAAGAUGGCCGCUUCACUCCCAGCUCAUCGCAGAUCUGCAAAAGAAAACAGGUAGUAAAUGAACUCUGAAACAAAAGGGCCGCCACACAGGAUUCAAGCAGACCAGGCCCUGCAUGACUCAGUACUUGAAGUUUUCAGGAGAAAAGGCUUGUAGAUUUUAUCACAUACCCUAAGGCAUCCCUGUGUCAUAAAAAGGCCAGCAACAAUGCUCUUUAAUUAUUAAGUUGCCUGAGACUGGGAAGCUGCUUUUUCGUUCCCAACUUCAACAGCUAUGUGGAUAUCUGCACCCGGCUGUUUGCUGAACACUGUUUGCUGAAUGCAAGGUCAACAUUUCAGACCACAGCCAGAUCCACUUGAGUUCCUCCUCCCUUCCGCUGCCUCAGUUCCCCCUGACUGAGCUUUACAGGGCCCCACCUUCUGAUGGUAUCAGGGUGAUGGCACCCGAAGCCUACGCCAAUGCGGUUCUUGUGAAAUUGGGCCCUCAUCACUGGGCCUGUGAAGCAGCUUUCCCAGCAAACGAGCAGUUGCCCUGCUUGCCAAAAAUGUAAAAGGAAGGAACGCGGCAAAUGGUGUUGCUAGAAACUUGGUGCCAUUCUCACCCUGUCCAGUUUGAGAGCACAGAUUCCUAUCUGUCCUGGCCUCUGCUGUGUCCCUAGCACUCAACCCAGGGCCAGGCAGGACAGGAGUUCAACAGCUAUUUGCAGAAAAGACUGAAAUGAAUGGCCUACUCAGACGGCCGUGGCAAGGACCCGACUGCCUGCGCAGCUCCACGGCACACACCUCAAAGAAGUUCUCCUCGGUCACCUCCAGCGGGGCGUUGAAGAAGUGCAGCACGUUGCUGGGGUGCUGGAUGCGGUUCUUGGCUGCCUGCUCUGGGGUGGAGAACCGAUUGUUCCGGGAUUCACUGAAGUCUUUGUAACUGCAAGACCCGUCUUCCAACCCGUAUGACUGACCAGGCAUGAUGGCUGGCUGCUUGGAGACACUGCAGCAAGGAAGAAAGGGGAGCCUUUGUCAUACCCAAAGUUGUCCCUGAAGCUUUCCCCUGUGGCCUCCAGAGGCUUAGCUUGCCCUGUGUGCCUUGGGGCAUUGCUCUACACCUGAGGCAAGGCUGACUCACUUUCUCCUGUGGUGUCAGAGACACGUCUGGGAACACACCUGCCACAUCCCAUUUCUGUGUGAGUCAACACCUCGGCCUCACUGUGCUCCUCUGCUGGGCCCCAUUCCCCUCCUUUUCUCUCCCCUGUACCUCUGCUGCCCUCCCGAGCCUGAGCACCUACCAGACAUUCAGCUUCUGCCCAAACAUGAAGUUGUUGUUGAGGUGGGUAAUGGCCCGGUCUACAGCGUAGCCAUCAGCCAUCUCCACCAUGGCGGCCCCCGGCUUGCUUUUCAUGAAUUUCACCUUGGGGAGAGUAGCUGCAGUCAGCACCUCUGUCCAGCUGCCAGGGUCCCCUCUCCUGCCCCUCCCAAGUUAGUGAUAAUAACCCCUGCUCUGGCCUCCCAUGUCCUCACAGUUAAUCGGGACCACUAGAAAAACAUGCCUGGCCCACACCAAGUGCUCAACCCAUAGUGAGAAGCAGAGCCUGGGCCAUGUUUUUAACUGUGGGACAUAACCCACCAGUAAAUCAUUUAGUGAAGCAUGACAGAAAACUGUACAGGAAUCAGAAAUCAAAUCAGCCAUUUUCACCAUUUUGUCUGUUACACACAGACGUGUGUGAUCUAUGGAUGGCUGUGUCUACAGUCACAAGGUAAAAUACUCCUUCAGCUGGGUUACAACAGAGCAGUGCCGGCUCUGGAGCCAGGCAGUCUGGCUCUGAGUCCUGCUUCACAUAAAGGCUAUGUGAACCUGGGCGCGUUAUUUAAGCCCCGUCCUCCACUUCCCCUGUCCAUCUCAUUAAGGAUUAAUGUGAGAAAUUACACAGGUCACUACAUGUAAAGCAUCUUUAACAGUGCCUGGUAACUAACAACACUUCACCUGUGUUACGAACUACUCUAAGUAAUGGGCCAAGUCAUGAGCUGCACAAAGGCCCCCAAGACCCAGACGGGUUUAAUGUUAAGCAAAAUGCCGCCUGGUCUCAGGUAGACACUCAGCCACCGCUAGCCCCAGUCAACUGUCCCAUGGGAAGGCAGAAGGCCCGGUGUUGCCAGGUCUUAAGUUUUCAGGAGGAAAUCCUUAAACGAUGGUGUUUCACUAUAAUGGAUUCAUUUUUAUGUUUUAUAAAUCUCUAUGUUCAUGUA